CCUACGGGGGGCAGCAGUGAGGAAUCUUGGACAAUGGGGGCAACCCUGAUCCAGCCAUGCCGCGUGAACGAUGAAGGCCUUAGGGUUGUAAAGUUCUUUCAACGGUGAAGAUAAUGACGGUAGCCGUAGAAGAAACCCCGGCUAACUCCGUGCCAGCAGCCGCGGUAAUACGGAGGGGGUUAGCGCUGUUCGGAAUUACUGGGCGUAAAGCGCACGUAGGCGGACUAUUAAGUCAGGGGUGAAAUCCCGGGGCUCAACCCCGGAACUGCCUUUGAUACUGGUAGUCUAGAGUUCGAGAGAGGUGAGUGGAAUUCCGAGUGUAGAGGUGAAAUUCGUAGAUAUUCGGAGGAACACCAGUGGCGAAGGCGGCUCACUGGCUCGAUACUGACGCUGAGGUGCGAAAGCGUGGGGAGCAAACAGGAUUAGAUACCCCAGUAGUCC
rnacentral:rRNA from 1 species